rnacentral:rRNA from 1 species
UACGUAGGGGGCUAGCGUUGUCCGGAAUCAUUGGGCGUAAAGCGCGCGUAGGCGGCCCGGUAAGUCCGCUGUGAAAGUCAAAGGCUCAACCUUUGAAUGCCGGUGGAUACUGCCGGGCUAGAGUCCGGAAGAGGCGAGUGGAACUCCUGGUGUAGCGGUGGAAUGCGCAGAUAUCAGGAAGAACACCGAUAGCGAAGGCAGCUCGCUGGGACGGUACUGACGCUGAGGCGCGAAAGCGUGGGGAGCGAACAGG